GAGUUUGAUCGUGGCUCAGGAUGAACGCUGGCGGCGUGCUUAACACAUGCAAGUCGAACGAGAAUCUGUGGAAAGAGGAUUCGUCCAAUUGAAACAGAGGACAGUGGCGGACGGGUGAGUAACGCGUGAGGAACCUGCCUUUCAGAGGGGGACAACAGUUGGAAACGACUGCUAAUACCGCAUGACACAUAUUGGGGGCAUCCCUGAUAUGUCAAAGAUUUAUCGCUGAAAGAUGGCCUCGCGUCUGAUUAGCUAGUUGGUGAGGUAACGGCCCACCAAGGCGACGAUCAGUAGCCGGACUGAGAGGUUGAACCGCCACAUUGGGACUGAGAUACGGCCCAGACUCCUACGGGAGGCAGCAGUGGGGAAUAUUGCACAAUGGGGAAACCCUGAUGCAGCAACGCCGCGUGAAGGAAGACGGUUUUCGAUUGUAAACUUCUUUUCUAGUGAAGAGCAAGUGACGGUAGCUAAGGAAUAAGCAUCGGCUAACUACGUGCCAGCAGCCG
rnacentral:rRNA from 1 species